rnacentral:rRNA from 1 species
CAUGCAGUCGAGCGGAUGAAGGAGCUUGCUCCUGGAUUCAGCGGCGGACGGGUGACUAUUGCCUAGGAAUCUGCCUGGUAGUGGGGGACAACGUUUCGAAAGGAACGCUAAUACCGCAUACGUCCUACGGGAGAAAGCAGGGGACCUUCGGGCCUUGCGCUAUCAGAUGAGCCUAGGUCGGAUUAGCUAGUUGGUGAGGUAAUGGCUCACCAAGGCGACGAUCCGUAACUGGUCUGAGAGGAUGAUCAGUCACACUGGAACUGAGACACGGUCCAGACUCCUACGGGAGGCAGCAGUGGGGAAUAUUGGACAAUGGGCGAAAGCCUGAUCCAGCCAUGCCGCGUGUGUGAAGAAGGUCUUCGGAUUGUAAAGCACUUUAAGUUGGGAGGAAGGGCAGUAAAUUAAUACUUUGCUGUUUUGACGUUACCGACAGAAUAAGCACCGGCUAACUCUGUGCCAGCAGCCGCGGUAAUACAGAGGGUGCAAGCGUUAAUCGGAAUUACUGGGCGUAAAGCGCGCGUAGGUGGUUCGUUAAGUUGAAUGUGAAAUCCCCGGGCUCAACCUGGGAACUGCAUCCAAAACUGGCGAGCUAGAGUAUGGUAGAGGGUGGUGGAAUUUCCUGUGUAGCGGUGAAAUGCGUAG